rnacentral:rRNA from 1 species
GACGAACGCUGGCGGCGUGCUUAACACAUGCAAGUCGAGCGGAAAGGCCACUUCGGUGGUACUCGAGCGGCGAACGGGUGAGUAACACGUGAGUAAUCUGCCCCUGGCUUUGGGAUAGCCACCGGAAACGGUGAUUAAUACCGGAUACGACCACUUCUCGCAUGGGAUGGUGGUGGAAAGUUUUUUCGGCUAGGGAUGUGCUCGCGGCCUAUCAGCUUGAUGGUGAGGUAAUGGCUCACCAUGGCUUCGACGGGUAGCCGGCCUGAGAGGGUGACCGGUCACACUGGGACUGAGACACGGCCCAGACUCCUACGGGAGGCAGCAGUGGGGAAUAUUGGACAAUGGGCGGAAGCCUGAUCCAGCAACGCCGCGUGAGGGAUGACGGCCUUCGGGUUGUAAACCUCUUUCAGCAGGGACGAAGCGCAAGUGGCGGUACCUGCAGAAGAAGCACCGGCCAACUACGUGCCAGCCGCCGCGGUAA